ACGGCAUUCUAUCUUUCAUCACACAGAUUUUUCAAGCCGCCAGUACAGACCUCAAAAGUGGAAUCUGUCUUUAUUGAAUCAUUGCCUAUUAAUAGACAUCCAAUAAUGUUGAGCAUCACAGAUAGCAGCAUUGUAUAUCAUCACAUCUCCCAGCUUUGUGUUCCCCUUUAUUUAGUCAGUUUCCGUCCUGUGCUUCCUGUAUUUUAUUUUGGUUCUCACUGUGUUGUCUCUGUUCCAGGUCAGUCACCUCCCAUCCUUGUGUCCUUCCCGCCUGUGUGAUUACCUGCCCCGCCCUGAUGUGUUUCACCUGUGUCUCUUUGUCUCACCUCCUGUGUGCUUAAGUAGCCUGUCUCACCCACCUCCAGUGCCAGUUCGUCUUAGUUUGUCUAGCGUUCCAGCCUUUUGUUCCCUGAGCUCCUAGUGUAUUUUUCCAGUUUUUUUGACUUUGCCUGUUGUCUCCGACUCUGCCUCUGCCUGACCCUUUUGGAUAUUGUUUGCCUGUCUGGACUGAUUAUCUGUGUACCGAACUCUUUUGAUUAUUAAAAACCCUUCUCAGUGAUCUGCAUCCUGCGCUUUUGGGUCCUGUCUCUGUACGCCUGUUACAUAUAUGGCACAAAACAGGCAACCAUUCAAGGGACAACUCAUGUGGCAGUGUGUGAGUAAAGGAGCAAGACCACACCAAGCAGCCAUCCUCAGCCCAUUCUCUCACAUUGACCAGACGGAGACUGAAGAUUGUUUGGACCCCUCUGUGAACACUUGUGGUCACCUGCCUUGGCACACUUCACAACAUAAUUAAAGGUUUUGCACUUUAAAUGGAAGCAACUGCUCUCAAACUAAGGGUCAACCUUGAUGAUGUCAGUGCGGAGAGGCUUUUUUUGCCCUCUCAUCCUGAGACUUACAAAGCUGAGCGUCUGGGCUGGAGCAGCUCUCUACUUCUCCAAACUGAAUCUGCGCUGAUCGGUGAUUACGGUGGGGAAGAGACCGACUACAGAUAUGUACUUUAUAUGACCCCACUUCAAAAAACACGAACUAUCCCUUUAAACUUUCAUACUAAAAUCUGGAAGUUAUGAUGCAAUAAUGGAUGAGCUGGAAGCAACCCAGGAGGGAGCUGUGGCUCUGGUGGCAGUAGUCAACGAAGAGGAGGUGCCUCAAGGAGUUCCCUUUGACACCCAGCAUGUGUCGAUUGUCCUCGAGGAUCAAGUUGUAAUGUCUCAAAAGGCUAUACAUCUAUACAUCUCUUUCACCUGCAUACAUACAAGAUGAUCACUCUGGUUAAGCUCCAGAGAUCCUGUAUAUAUGCGCUGUAAAACCCGAGUUAGUUGAACUCAAACCAUUUGAGGAAACCGAUUGCCUUAAACCAUUUAAGUUUAUUCACCUA